GGCGGCGGGGCCGGCGAGCCGCGCAGCAGGCAACUGCGACCCGCGCUCGGCUCUCCGGCUCCAGCUCCCGCGCAGCCUGUUGCUCGUUCCUCCGGGCCGCCGCUUCCCGCCCGGUGCCCAGGGCCAGGCGGCCCGAGGGGUGCCGGCGCGCGAGCGGCCUCCCGCCUUCCCCUCUCCCCGCCCGCGGCUGGACCCCAGCAUCUCCGGGAGCGCGGGCGCCGGCCAGCCUCCCCGCGCGCCCCGGCCGGCGCGCCGAGACCCCGGGUGCCGAGCCGCGAUGAACGCGACCUUCCUGAACCACAGCGGCCUGGAGGCGGCGGGCGGCUUGGGCGGCGGCGGCGGGGCCACCCUGGGGAACCGCAGCCACGGGCUGGGCACGUGGCUGGGCUGCUGCCCCGGGGGCGCGCCGCUGGCCGCCACCGACGGGGUCCCCGCGGGGCUGGCGCCCGACGAGCGCAGCCUGUGGGUGUCGCGCGUGGCGCAGAUCGCUGUGCUCUGCGUGCUGUCGCUCACCGUGGUCUUCGGCGUGUUCUUCCUGGGCUGCAACCUGCUCAUCAAGUCGGAGAGUAUGAUCAACUUUCUGGUGGAGGAGCGCCGGCCCUCCAAGGACGUGGGCGCCGCCAUCCUGGGGCUGUACUGAGGCCGCCUCGGCCCGUCCCCGCCAGCCCGGCCGCAAGCGGACGAGAAGGGAGACCGGGACCCUCGUGCCCCUCCCGGGCUCUGCCGCCGCCGCCGCCCGGCGGGCCGCGCGAGGAACAGCGACGGGCCUCGGGGCGCCCCGGCCCGGGGACACCGUGAGACUCGAGGCGGUGGCGCGGGAAGGGACUUCCACACCCGGCUCGGUCCAGUGUGCGCCUCAGCAUGGCGGGGUGGGAGAGGUCGUGGGAGACUGCGUGGGGCUGAGGUCACGUGCGGGGGAGUUUUGUGCGUACGUAGACGCGUCCGUGUGCGGGUGAGUUGCGGGGUGGGGCAAGGUGAUGAAUCCGAAUCCCUGAGAUCGUGGGCCGGAUUUUGCAUUUGAAAAGAACCGUGGUAAUAAACCUGCUGCCGUCGGGCUUCCGGCGGCUUCCCGUUCGCAACUCUUCACGGAGUGUGUGUGUAAGUGUAAGGUCACGAGGGAUAUGUGGGAUGUCCAGAUCCCUGAACUCCAGAGGCCAGGCAAGCAUCUAGGCCUCUGGCAUGACCACUGGGGAAGUGCCCUGAGGAAGCACCUGCUUACUCUUGCCGCCAUAUGCCUCCAAACUCAGAGGAAUCUGUAACUCCAGUGCAUAGAAAUGGAGAGUUUAAUCCAUGGGGAACACUCUGGAAUGCUGAGGAAAAAAAAAUAACCAAGAGUCAGGAAACCAGCUCCUAUAAGACGAUUGUCUGGCUUUACAUGUGUCCUACCAUCUUGGAGGAGUCAAAGACCACAUCACUGGGGACUGGUACCCCUGGAGCUAUCCACACCUAGGCUGGCCCAGCCAGGCAGACCAAUGGACAGCUUCUGACACAGAGACACCCUCAGACACCAGAGCCUUGAAUCUUCCUUUGCACCUAAAAGGGCGCUGUAUUCCACAAACCAGAUUACAACGAUGCCUUCGACUUCCCCACUUGGCCAUGUAAUGUGAUGGUUGGGAAUGUCGAGUCCACAUCAAGAAGGGCCCUGGAUUCAAGCCCUGCUUCUGCUCAUUCUUAGUCGUAAGACAUUCUUUCCAAACUUCAGUUUCUUCAUUUGUAAAAUGGGAGUUAAUGACACAUAUCUCUAAGUAUUUGUUGAACGGAUUAAAUAACAUCAUUUAUGAAAAUGAUUAAUAAACACGAUGUCUGGCACACCUCAGAAGUGAUUGUUUUGGUUAUCUAUCUAUAACUAGCUCCAAAAAUUUGAGCUUUGAAACAAUAACCACUUUAUUAUGUCUUCACGGUUCUGUGGGUUGACUGGGAGACUGUCGGCCAGCUGGGCAGAUCUUCUGUCAGCAAGAACUGCAGCCAUCUAGAGGUCGUCUGUCUAGUGCCCAGCUUUUGUCCCCAAAGCUCAGAAGCACAGUUGCCAAGCCUUCAUAAGGCUUAGGCUCAGAAUUGGGGUAUUUUCUUCUCUGCCACAUCCUAUUUAUUAAUAUGACUCACAGAGCCAGUCCAGAUGCAUUGUGGGAGGACAGACUAUGCAAGGCCAUGAAUACUGGAGGCAUGGUUCACUGGCAGGUGUCUUUGGAAACC